GGAUUCUAUAACUCAGUGCUCUCAUAGUCAUAAAGGCAUUGCAGGAGCAUCAUAUAUUCCUGCUGUUCAAGCGGCAUUACCUCGUCUUUUGGGAGCUGCUGCUCCUCCAGGAGUGGGUGCCCAGGAAAACCGUCGUCAAUGUCUCAAGGUUUUGCGAUUAUGGCUUGAGAGGAAAAUAUAUCCUGAUUCUCUUCUUCGCCGUCAUAUGGAUGAUAUUGGUUCGUCGAAUGAUGAUUCGUCUGGUGGUUUGUCCUUUAGACGACCAUCUCGAGCUGAGCGUGCUAUUGAUGAUCCUAUAAGAGAGAUGGAAGGCAUGCUUGUUGAUGAGUAUGGCAG
rnacentral:misc_RNA from 1 species